rnacentral:lncRNA from 1 species
CCUCUGUGCGAGGAUCAAUUGGCAAGUUCACAGGAGACUGUGAAUGAGUCGGAGUCGGAAUCUGAUUCUGAGACCCACAGUUAGAAAUGUCGUCAACUUUUUGUUCAGCUGUCUGAUCUACUACCUUAACAACUUUUAGCUCCUUUUUGUUUGGCUCCAGUCCGUGGCUCUUGUUAAUGGUAGUCUCUUGAGAGCCUUUCAAUCCUUCUGAAGGAGAAGAAGCCUUUAUAGUGUCAUUUGAUGUCUCUUGUGAUUUCCCUCUCUGACCAGGAGGACUAGGGGACCUCGAACUGCCAUUCCCAUUCUUCUUCUUAGGCAAGGGAUCUACUCUCAGACAAACAGGAGGUAACUUGGCCAUCCUUGGGGAGGACGGAGACUGCCUUUUAGCACUGUCUGAAGGUUUCUUCUUUCCACCAUCUUCUCCAUGUUUAGUGGCAUUGCCUUCCCACUUCCCCACAAAGUUUUCUGAG